UACGGGGGGGGCAAGCGUUGUUCGGAAUUACUGGGCGUAAAGGGCUCGUAGGUGGCCAACUAAGUCAGACGUGAAGUCCCUCGGCUUAACCGGGGAACUGCGUCUGAUACUGGAUGGCUUGAGUUUGGGAGAGGGAUGCGGAAUUCCAGGUGUAGCGGUGAAAUGCGUAGAUAUCAGGAGGAACACCAGCGGCGAAGGCAGCACUCUGGGCCGGUACUGACGCUGAGGAGCGAAAGCGUGGGGAGCAAACAGG
rnacentral:rRNA from 1 species